rnacentral:rRNA from 1 species
AGCUCCAAUAGCGUAUAUUAAAGUUGUUGCAGUUAAAAAGCUCGUAGUUGGAUUUCUGGUAGGAUGACUUCGCCCUCAGUAGAGUGUGCGGAGCCGUCUUUCCAUCCUUCUGUUAACCCUUGAGUCCUUCACGGUCUCCUGGGGGCUCAGAUAUUUUACCUUGAGAAAAUUAGAGUGUUUCAGGCAGGCUAGCGCCGGAAUACAUUAGCAUGGAAUAAUGGAAUAGGACUUUUGCCUCUUCUGUUGGUCUGAGGGGUUCGAGUAAUGAUUAAUAGGGAUAGUUGGGGGCAUUAGUACUUCACUGUCAGAGGUGAAAUUCUCGGAUUUGUGAAAGACUAACUUAUGCGAAAGCAUUUGCCAAGGAUGUUU